rnacentral:lncRNA from 1 species
CAGAGAAGGAAAAAAAAAGGUAGCCACCAACCCACCGAUUCCCCCGAUUCCCCGUUCUCUCGAGCGCCUCGUCGCCUCCGACGGCGCUGCCAUUCCUCUUUCGUCUCGAGCUCACGCACGCGGCUCACGUCGCUCGCCGUCGACGCUUCCCGGCGAGGCCAUCCGCGGCCGCCGUCGCUUCUUCCCGGAGCCGCGCCGCCAACCCACCCCGUCUCCACACCCCCGCGUGGCACCCUGUCUUGCCCUCUCUCUAGGCUUAUUUCCAUUCUUGAUUCCCCCGAUUCCCCGUUCUCUCGAGCGCCUCGUCGCCUCCGACGGCGCCACCUCUUUCGUCUCGAGCUCACGCACGCGGCUCACGUCGCUCGCCGUCGACGCUUCCCGGCGAGGCCAUCCGUGGCCGCCGUUGCUUCUUCCCGGAGCCGCGCCGCCAACCCACCCCGUCUCCACACCCCCGCGCGGCACCCUGUCUUGCCCUCUUUCUCUAGGGUUUUCUCUGAACCCAAAUCGCUGUAA